UCAAGCCCGCCCGAGCUUCUUCUGCCGCCUCAGACACCACGCGACCCCGUUGGCCGUCUCCCAAGUCGCCUGCCGACCUCCGCCUCCUCUCCUUAUUCUCCCGUCUCUCUUCUCCCGUAUGUGACAUUUCUCUCCCGUGCAGCUUCCACCUCCCUGCAGAUCCACAAUUUGUCGGCCGGAGGGAACGGGGCAGAGCCUCCAGCAUCGCUGGGAGCAAUGGCCGAUGCCCGGCGGCACUGAGGUGGCGCAUCACAGUAUGAAGCACCGCUCCCGAUCCGUAGGGAUUUGGCUUCGGUCAGGAGACUUGGGUCAAAGGCAAGCCCACCGAAGUCAGCUCCAAUCCAGUCUUCUAAGAAGGGGUGUGGGAACUAGGGCUUGCUCAAGGUGCUAUCAUUUUUUUUGCUUUGACCAUGGGAGGAGAGCAGCAGCCUGCUGCUGCGAUUUUGUUCCUGCUGCUUCUUGGUUACUACUCCCUCUGUUGAUCAGGGAGUACUACACAUCUAUACAGAGAACACAAAGAACAGAAGGCUGGUGCUUGCUGCUUUCAAGGGGAUACAUACCUGAUACCUCUGUUGUGGCAGCAGCCCUCUGCUUCUGCUACCCGUUGGCGCCGCUGCCUCCCGCUUCUACCCUCUGCUGCUGCUGCUUGUCAUUGCUCCUUGCCACGAGCUCAAUGGCGUACAUGUAGGACCUCCCCUGCCCGCGCGUCCUCUCCGACCCGUGUGCAUCCUCCUCGUUCCAGCGUAGCAACAACAGCUCCUCCAGGCCGCCCUGCCUCUCUUCCUUCUCCCUUUCUACUUCCUCCCCUCGUUCUUCUUCUUCUCUCUCACACACACCAAUUCACUCUUUCUCUGUUACCUACAGGAGGCCGACGCCGAACUGCAAGCAGCUGCCGCCUGGAGGUUCUCUGCCACCGGAGCCCUCCUCCUCACCCACGUCGCCUGCGUCCAUCCUCGUCGGAUCCGAUGCUGCAGGGACUCCCUGCGCCUCCGCCGCCUCGCCAAGUCCGUCUGUUGAAGCCGCUUCUGUCCGCUGACUGCUCGAUCCCCUGCCUCGACCACGUCCGUGUGCGUGCGCAAGGGAUGCAAGGCCCAGCAACGCUUCUCGGCGUCCAUGUGCGGUGGCAGGUAGAGGUCGGCGCCGGCGAGCAGGCAGUGGAGCGCAUCGACGGAGCCAUGGUGGAGGUCAUGGGCGCCGAGCUGCUCCACCCACCUCGCGCCGACUCGUGGCUGCUGGCCGACGAGCACAGGGGAGCUCGGGUUCUUGGGAAUGGAGACACACCUAUAGGGGUCCGGCGAUGCUGGAGGCGGAGGAGAGGGGCGGGCACCUUCCGCACCGACGAGCUCGUCAACGAGAGGAGCCUCCCCCUUUCCACCUUCUCUGCCGCUGGAUAAGAUGAACAAAGGAAUGCGGGCGAAAUUGUUACAAAAGGCAGGGAUUAAUUUGCAAAAAUGAAUCGUUUUGCUAGAUCCACUUACUUAGGGACUGCGGGUUCUAUUAUCUAAAACUAUAGGGACUUUUUUGCAAAACUGUCGCGACGACGGACGGCAGAUACCGAAUUUUCUUUAUUAUUAUUAGGUUAUUAGGUAAAGAUAAAGACUAGCAAAAUAAGUUUGACUCAAUACCCUGAUAUAUGAGCGUUCUCUAUUUUAACACAGUGACUUGCGA